GGACCUGACUGCUAUCGGAUUGAUACUAAGCCAUGCGAGUCAUUGUAGCAAUACAAGGCAGACGGCUCAGUAACGCGUAGUCAACCUACCCUAUGGACGGGAAUAACCUCGGGAAACUGGGUAUAAUGCCCGAUAGAACAUUAUGCCUGGAAUGGUUUAUGUUCCAAAUGAUUUAUCGCCGUAGGAUGGGACUGCGGCCUAUCAGUUUGUUGGUGAGGUAAUGGCCCACCAAGACUAUUACAGGUACGGGCUCUGAGAGGAGUGGCCCGGAGAUGGGUACUGAGACACGGACCCAGGCCCUAUGGGGCGCAGCAGGCGAGAAAACUUUGCAAUGUGCGAAAGCACGACAAGGUUAAUCCGAGUGGUUUCUGCUAAAGGAACCUUUUGUCAGUCCUAGAAACACUGAUGAAUAAGGGGUGGGCAAGUUCUGGUGU
rnacentral:rRNA from 1 species